rnacentral:rRNA from 1 species
GAGCACGUAGGUGGGUUUGUAAGUCAGAUGUGAAAGCCUCCUGUUCAACGGGAGAAUUGCAUCUGAAACUGCAGAUCUUGAGUGUAGGAGGGGAGAAUGGAACUUCUGGUGGAGCGGUGAAAUGCGUAGAUAUCAGAAGGAACGCCGGCGGCGAAAGCGAUUCUCUGGCCUAUUACUGACACUCAGUGUGCGAAAGCUAGGGGAGCAAACGGGAUUAGAUACCCCGGUAGUCCUAGCCGUAAACGAUGGGCACUAAGUAGAGGGAAUUACCGAUAUUCUCUCUGCCGUAGCUAACGCAUUAAGUGCCCCGCCUGGGGAGUACGGCCGCAAGGCUAAAACUCGAAAGAAUUGACGGGGGCUCGCACAAGCGGUGGAGCAUGUGGCUUAAUUCGAUGCAACGCGAAGAACCUUACCGGGGCUUGACAUGGUAGAAGUAGGAACCCGAAAGGGUAACGAACGGUAUCCAGUCCGUAGCUAUUACAGGUGUUGCAUGGCUGUCGUCAGCUCGUGUCGUGAGACGUUGGGUUAAGUCCCCUAACGAGCGAAACCCUUGUUUUUAGUUGCCAGCGGGUUAUGCCGGGCACUCUAGAAAGACUGCCGUCGUCAAGACGGAGGAAGGUGGGGAUGACGUCAAGUCAUCAUGGCCCUUAUGCCCCGGGCUGCACACGUGCUACAAUGGUCGGUACAAACGGAAGCGAAGCCGAGAGGUGAAGCGAAUCC